UACGAAGGGGGGCUAGCGUUGUUCGGAUUUACUGGGCGUAAAGCGCACGUAGGCGGAUCGUUAAGUCGGGGGUGAAAUCCUGGAGCUCAACUCCAGAACUGCCUUCGAUACUGGCGAUCUUGAGUCCGGAAGAGGUGAGUGGAACUCCUAGUGUAGAGGUGGAAUUCGUAGAUAUUAGGAAGAACACCAGUGGCGAAGGCGGCUCACUGGUCCGGUACUGGACGCUGAGGUGCGAAAGCGUGGGGAGCGAACAGGG
rnacentral:rRNA from 1 species